UAAAAGUAUAACAUUUUGUAUAGCAUUAGUUUUCAAAGUGUUAGAAACACUGCUUUUGAAUAUCUCGGAUCACUUUCGUAAAGGAUGCAGGUAAACUAUGCUGUCAUCUUAGCCUGUUUACUACUCGUUGGAACACCGACAGAAAACUACGAAUUUAGUCUGACUGCACUACAUAAGUUCAGCAAAGAAAAUCUAAAAAUACUCCGCAAGUCCGGCUUUCUUAGUGCUUUAGGUCUACGACCCCAUAUUCUUCUCAUUCCCUAUAUAGAGCCACAGCUGCGUAAGGUAGUCGUCGUUACCAAAAGUUCGUAUCACCGUCCAGUUUUUUGUCGACGACCAAAAAUAAUGGAAGGAAUUGAUCCAGCACGUCUUGCAAGAGAUUGGCCUCAUAGCGUCACUCCUGGAGGCCCAGGCCCAGAGUGGUGGUAGUCGCGGACUUCAAACCAUCUUUAUUAUAUCAUUUGCGAAACCCGUUUUGUGUGCGAAACCCAAACAAAGCGCUGGUCUUAAUGAACGAUUGGUUCUGGCGAUUUUAGACAAACAACUGGAGACGCACCACUAAGCUCUGAAUGUUUACCCGCUGGCGGCAUGUCUACUCAUUAACAUUUAAGCGUAAGCAAAAAAGCAUGUGAUGUUACUAAGGGAAUCGAACUGUAAGAUCUCCAUUCAUAUACAAAUUAUAUGCCAAAAAUUGUAUUUAAUCGCAUGAUAGAUAGAAGCCUCUGUAUAUGAUGCGCACCAACGCCUAGGACACACUGAGAGCAAAUGAAAGUAAGGGCAUCUACCGAGCGCCGAGUUGUUAUUACAUCAAUCUUAUUCUCACAUCGGAAUGCUUUUUGUCCGUCAUGUUCUCCCAUAUUUUAUGUUUCGAGUUCCGUCAGACGACUGGCUCGCAUCAUGAGACGAGUUGUGUCCACGCUCAAAUUCGAACCCCCGACCACCACGUGUCU